rnacentral:rRNA from 1 species
UACGGGUGGGGCAAGCGUUGUUCGGAAUUACUGGGCGUAAAGGGCUCGUAGGUGGCCAACUAAGUCGGACGUGAAAUCCCUCAGCUUAACUGGGGAACUGCGUCCGAUACUGGAUGGCUUGAGUUUGGGAGAGGGAUGCGGAAUUCCAGGUGUAGCGGUGAAAUGCGUAGAUAUCUGGAGGAACACCGGUGGCGAAGGCGGCAUCCUGGACCAACACUGACACUGAGGAGCGAAAGCCAGGGGAGCAAACGGG